UUUGUGCAAGACAAAAAACUAAAAUACAAUCAGACAAUCUUUGCUUUUCUCUGAUUAUGUUUUCAAUUUUGCCCGAAUCCUAAAUGAGUUAAGCCUUAUGAUACACAAAAUUUGAAAUCAUAGCAUGUUCUUAGAUUAAGGAGGCCUUCCGACUUGUUAGGGCUAGAGGGGGUCAGGGUGACCAUCGUGAUGAUGCACCCGCUCAUCUAGAUCUAAAUGAUGAUUCAGGUAUUUAGGAAGAAGUUUAAAUAUGAACAUUAUUAUUUACUUCAUUAAGGUCUUAAGUGUUUUUGUUAUAUUGUAGGCUCCGCCACUUUUUUUUUUCCUGAAACUUAUAAAUGUGUGUGAUAUAUUGUAGGCACACCAUCACGAGUACAUAAUUCAAUUCCCAUAGAUGCAGAAACUUCUAGUUCCGCUCCACCUUAAGCUUCAUCAUCCACUACUAGAGCGCAGUGUUCUAUCAUCAAUCAAAGUGACAGCAGGUUUGGAAUUAUUUGAAUUAAAUGGUUCUUUUUGUUUGAUUGAAAAGUAUUGUUGUAAUUUUAAUAUAAUUAUCUUUGCAUUAAUAUUUCAGCUUUUUGUGGACACCUAAGGUAACUAGUAAAUUUUGUAAA